rnacentral:rRNA from 1 species
CGGGCGGUUNCCCGCCCGNGAUUGGCGAGAAGUCCAUGAACCCUAUCAUUUAGAGGAAGGAGAAGUCGUAACAAGGUUUCCGUAGGUGAACCUGCGGAAGGAUCAUUG